CGAUGUAGGUCGACAAAGAUCUGGGGCCAAAUCUGCUGAUGUGAUUAGGUGGAGAUGAAAUAUAAGAUCACUGCCGACGGCGAACUGAUAUGAAAACAGCUGGUCCAGGACGUGUCUUCAUCCAUUUAUGGCUCAUUGUGGAAGUGGAAAUGAGUCUUGUGCACGUGAACCCAGUUUCAUAAUGACCGAGAGUUAUAAAGCAGAACCAUGUGUACACGGGGUUUUAUAAAUCUGAUGAAAAGAAUGCGUCUGCAUAGUUCUAGCUUUGUGCGUCUGACCCCUGAAAUCUCAGCAUAUGCCAACAUACUUACAAUAUGAAGCUUUCACUGUGACGUUUUUGAAGAUUAUUUUCAUCCAUAGUCUUCAUUAUACUCUGGGCAGAAGACUAACUCCAUUCUCUACACUAUGAAAUUAUUACUGUCUGAUUGCAUUUCAUAAUCAAAGACAACCACACAAGACGUCACUGAAAUCCUUUUUUCAGAAUUAAGGUGAUGUAAUUUCCAACAAGUGCAGCCCAGUUUGUUUU